rnacentral:rRNA from 1 species
AGUGAACGCUGGCGGUAGGCCUAACACAUGCAAGUCGAACGGCAGCACAGUAAGAGCUUGCUCUUACGGGUGGCGAGCGGCGGACGGGUGAGGAAUAAACCGGAAUCUACUUUUUCGUGUGGGAUAACGUAGGGAAACCUACGCGAAUACCGCAUAUGACCUCCGUGUGAAAGCAGGCGAUCUACGGACCUUGCGCGAUGGAAUGAGCCGAUGCCGGAUUAGAUAGUUGGCGGGGUAAAGGCCCACCAAGGCGACGAUGCGUAGCUGGUCUGAGGGAAUGAUACGCCACACUGGAACUGAGGCCCAGUCCAGCCUCCUACGGGAGGCACCAGAGGGGAAUCUUAGACAAGGGACCAGAGCCUGAUCCAGCAAUACCGCGUGGAUCCAGACGGCCUUCGGCUUGUAGAGCGAUUUUGUUGGGAGCGAAAAGAAGCACGUUAAUACCCGACGGUUCUGACGGUACCCAAAGAAUAAGCACCGGCUAACUUCGUG